rnacentral:ncRNA from 1 species
UGUCGCCUUGCUUCAAAACUACAGGGCGUGCGCUACGACUUUGACCUAACGGCCUCCGUUUGCUAGAAAUAAUCGGAAUAGUUGAGAACAAAGUGUGACGAACAAAUGCGUAAUGCGUGGGAAUCUGCUGAAUAGUUCGGGCCGAAUCCUGAAGAAAGUUCAAAGCGCUGUUUGAUGAACCUGCGUAGUAUUAUUAGUUGGUCAGGUAAACGCUAGCCAAGCCCAUGAUGCUUAGCUGGUCUUUUUGAAUGAUUAGCCACACUGGGACUGAGACAUGACCCACACUCCCAUGGGGGGCAGCAAAGAGGAAUCUUGGACAAUGGGCGAAAGCCCGAUCCAGCAAUAUCGCGUGAGUGAGGAAGGUCAAUGCUCCUUGUAAAGCUCUUACGUCGAGUGCGCGAUCAUGACAUAACUAGAGGAAGAAGCCCCGGCUA